AACGGCCGUACCAUGCUGAAUAUACCGGUUCUCGUUAGAUCACCGAAGUUAAGCAUCAUUGGGCGCGGUCAGUACUUGGGUGGGUGAGACCACCUGGGAACACUGCGUGCCGUU